UCCCUGGUGGCUCAGAUGGUGAAGAAUCUGCCUGCAAUGUAGGUGACCCAGGUUCAACUCCUGGGUCAGGGAG
rfam:TPA: Bos taurus chromosome 19, whole genome shotgun sequence.